UGAGUGGGGAGCAAGCGAAGGGAAUUUGUGCGUCAGACCUCCGAGAGAGGGUCAAAAGAGAGAACAAAACCAAUCUUGACAAGAGAAAUUGUACCAGUGGAUUCUCAGGCAGCAGCAAGAAGGGUCUAGGGUACAUUGGAAUUGGAAGAANAUGACAACUAGUGAUUGACUAGUUAGUGAACAACUCACCAUUGGGCAGACCCGAAACCUCAAAUUUCUAGCUCUCNUCUCCAUAAUUUAUGUUUUUUAUUUGAAAAAAAUUAAACUUCUAAAUUUGUUAUCCUUAGGUCCAUCCUUAUGUUGCUAUUGGAAAUAAGAACUCUAAAUUUGGCAUCAGAAAUGAGAAGCUGCAAUGGUUCUUAGAUGUUGNGAAGGAGCAUCCUAAUGAGCUCAACAAUGACCAAGGUUAGAUGGAAAUUUUUAUCUUUUUGCUGAUUUUUUUUUCUUUUGGUAUAUUAAGUUAUACACCUCUUUUUACA